UACGGGGGGAGCAAACGUUGUUCGGAAUUACUGGGCGUAAAGGGCGCGCAGGCGGCUCGGUUAGUGGAAUGUGAAAUGCCCUGGCUCAACCAGGGAACUGCAUUCCAUACUGCCGGGCUUGAGUAUAGGAGAGGAUGGGGGAAUUCCCGGUGUAGCGGUGGAAUGCAUUGAUAUCGGGAGGAACACCAGUGGCGAAGGCGCCCAUCUGGCCUAAUACUGACGCUGAGGCGCGAAAGCUAGGGGAGCAAAC
rnacentral:rRNA from 1 species